rnacentral:rRNA from 1 species
CGAUCACGGCAAUGUGAGCGGUCCAUCGCCCGCGACAUCGCAAGAAGUCCACUGAACCCUAUCAUUUAGAGGAAGGAGAAGUGAUAACAAGGUUUCCAUAGGUGAACCUGCGGAAGGAUCAUUG